GACGAACGCUGGCGGCGUGCUUAACACAUGCAAGUCGAACGAAGUGGCGCACGGGUGAGUAACGCGUAGUCAACCUGCCCUUCAGAGGGGGACAACAGUUGACAACGACUGCUAAUACCGCAUACUUAAGGAGGUGGUUGCGUUGGAUUAGCUAGUUGGAGGGGUAACGGCCCACCAAGGCGACGAUCAGUAGCCGGUCUGAGAGGAUGAACGGCCACAUUGGGACUGAGACACGGCCCAGACUCCUACGGGAGGCAGCAGUGGGGAAUCUUGCGCAAUGGGGGCAACCCUGACGCAGCCAUGCCGCGUGAAUGAAGAAGGCCUUCGGGUUGUAAAGUUCUUUCGGUAGCGAGCGUUAACGACAGAAGAAGCACCGGCUAACUCCGUGCCAGCCGCCGCGGUAAUUC
rnacentral:rRNA from 1 species